rnacentral:lncRNA from 11 species
AUAGGGUGCGACAACGAUGAGGGACUCAACUUUUUCGAAGUGCUACAGCAACUGUAUCCAGCCUAGCAUAUUCCAGAUAGAAAAGUACGGUCAGACUUGUUGUUUCUUGACGCUCAGCUAACAUAGCUCAUCUGAAGUGUUCUACCUGAGGCGGAAUACGUUCACCAUAGUUAACGCAACGGCGUGUACAUCACAUAGAACCCGGUUUGUAAAUAUAAGGUGGUAAGCUAGUUGGCGAAUAAGCCCAAAUUUGAUUGAACAAGAUUGUGUUUGCACUUGUAUUGCAUCUCGUCCUUAAGCAACCGCCGUGGCACCCCAACGAACAGGCUGCCCCCUUAUAACGCGGGAGAAAAUGCCAGAAGUCGCUUACAUUGCAGUCCGAUGAUCCAUUGCCAUUAUCAUUGGAGACAUACAAGGUAGCCUGCGCCUGUUCCAUUGAUGUUCGUGAUACAUACGCGUCACGCAGUUGUACGUAGCAUUUACGUAACGGCUAUAGGUAAGAAGACAUCAUCUUCACCUGGCUGGCUUCUGGUCACAGCGGCUAUUAAACCAACAUCGGAAACGAUCGUUGAACAACCCAUCGCAGAAGACCCGCACAUAAGACACCAAAAGGAUCGUAUAAUCCGUGGCGAUAACGGACAUGGUCACGUAUAUAGAUCCGACGCUGUUUGCUGAUCGUUGAUUGUACGAGAAACUCUGUGCGGUGUGAAAAAAAGAUUCGCAAACCCAGAAUUCUAUUCGGAGAGUACACUUUCGUAAUACGAUCUCGCAGUAGAAUUCUGAUUAUGUUAGUUACGUUUAGGGAACUUCUUUCAAUUUGGGGAGGACUAGACUAGACUUGUUUCGGGCGUUCAAGCGUAGACGCUAUUUUGUUACACAAUGAGCGUCAAUGGUAGCGUAAUUAGCAGUGCGUGCCUCGCGCUGAUCGAGUCCCCAACUUCGGUUAUA